rnacentral:rRNA from 1 species
GAAUAUUGCACAAUGGGCGCAAGCUUGAUGCAGCGACGCCGCGGGAGGGAUGACGGCUUUCGGGUUGUAAACCUCUUUCGAUGGGGAACAAGGCCAUAUUUGUGUGUGGUUGAGGGUACCAGUAUAACACGCGCCGGCUAACUACGUGCCAGCCGCCGCGGUAAUACGUAGGGCGCGAGCGUUGUCCGGAAUUAUUGGGCGUAAAGAGCUCGUGGGCGGCUUGUCGCGGCUGCUGUGAAAACGCGGGGCUUAACUCCGCGCUUGCAGUGGGUACGGGCAGGCUUGAGUGUAGUAGGGGAGACUGGAAUUCCUGGUGUAGCGGUGGAAUGCGCAGAUAUCAGGAGGAACACCGAUGGCGAAGGCAGGUCUCUGGGCUAUUACUGACGCUGAGGAGCGAAAGCAUGGGGAGCGAACA